GGGGUCGUGGCCUAGUCCGGUUUAUGGCGUCGCCCUGUCACGGCGAAGAUCACGGGUCCAAAUCCCGUCGGCCCCGCCA
rnacentral:tRNA from 1 species